rnacentral:rRNA from 1 species
UAGAAUACCAAGGCGCUUGAGAGAACUCGGGUGAAGGAACUAGGCAAAAUGGCACCGUAACUUCGGGAGAAGGUGCGCCGGUGAGGGUGAAGCAUUUACUGCGUAAGCCCAUGCCGGUCGAAGAUACCAGGCCGCUGCGACUGUUUAUUAAAAACACAGCACUCUGCAAACACGAAAGUGGACGUAUAGGGUGUGACGCCUGCCCGGUGCCGGAAGGUUAAUUGAUGGGGUUAGCUAACGCGAAGCUCUUGAUCGAAGCCCCGGUAAACGGCGGCCGUAACUAUAACGGUCCUAAGGUAGCGAAAUUCCUUGUCGGGUAAGUUCCGACCUGCACGAAUGGCGUAACGAUGGCGGCGCUGUCUCCACCCGAGACUCAGUGAAAUUGAAAUCGCUGUGAAGAUGCAGUGUAUCCGCGGCUAGACGGAAAGACCCCGUGAACCUUUACUAUAGCUUUGCACUGGACUUUGAAUUUGCUUGUGUAGGAUAGGUGGGAGGCUUUGAAGCGUGGACGCCAGUUCGCGUGGAGCCAACCUUGAAAUACCACCCUGGCAACUUUGAGGUUCUAACUCAGGUCCGUUAUCCGGAUCGAGGACAGUGUAUGGUGGGUAGUUUGACUGGGGCGGUCUCCUCCUAAAGAGUAACGGAGGAGUACGAAGGUGCGCUCAGACCGGUCGGAAAUCGGUCGUAGAGUAUAAAGGCAAAAGCGCGCUUGACUGCGAGACAGACACGUCGAGCAGGUACGAAAGUAGGUCUUAGUGAUCCGGUGGUUCUGUAUGGAAGGGCCAUCGCUCAACGGAUAAAAGGUACUCCGGGGAUAACAGGCUGAUACCGCCCAAGAGUUCAUAUCGACGGCGGUGUUUGGCACCUCGAUGUCGGCUCAUCACAUCCUGGGGCUGAAGCCGGUCCCAAGGGUAUGGCUGUUCGCCAUUUAAAGUGGUACGCGAGCUGGGUUUAGAACGUCGUGAGACAGUUCGGUCCCUAUCUGCCGUGGACGUUUGAGAUUUGAGAGGGGCUGCUCCUAGUACGAGAGGACCGGAGUGGACGAACCUCUGGUGUUCCGGUUGUCACGCCAGUGGCAUUGCCGGGUAGCUAUGUUCGGAAUAGAUAACCGCUGAAAGCAUCUAAGCGGGAAACUAGCCUCAAGAUGAGAUCUCACUGGGACCUUGAGUCCCCUGAAGGGCCGUCGAAGACUACGACGUUGAUAGGUUGGGUGUGUAAGCGCUGUGAGGCGUUGAGCUAACCAAUACUAAUUGCCCGUGAGGCUUGACCG